CCGAACUCAUUUAAACUCAACAUGUUGAACCCUUUCAACUCAUGGUGACUCUCAAUCGCGCUGAUGUCACAUUCCAUGUAAGAUAAUUUUUCCACAUCAUUUUUUAUUUUUUAUAAUAAUUUCUUUUUGGACAAAAAAUCAUAAAGUUUUGAUUCAAACUUAAAAAAAUAAUUAAUUAUUCUUCUAAAUUAAAAUUUUGGGUCUCCCUACAUCAUCUGCCAUUUUCACCGUGAAAAG
rnacentral:lncRNA from 1 species